GCAGUCGUGGCCGAGUGGUUAAAGCGAUGGACUAGAAAUCCAUUGGGGUCUCCCCGCACAGGUUCGAAUCCUGUCGACUGCG
rfam:Ixodes scapularis strain Wikel colony gcontig_1107729155880, whole genome shotgun sequence.